AAGUCGUUUUGGACAAAGCCCGUCCGAUACAACCUGCUGGGAGAGAUGGCACCUGCUUACGUCCAGCCUGUGGAUGAAUGUCUGUGAAGCAGCUAGAUAAUCCGAUGAGAGGAUGUGAGCUUGGAUGCUUUCGAAUUUUCUUCGAAAAUGGGGACACGUUGCUGCUAAACAGGCAUCGGUGACAAAUUGGAGAGAAGCCACAUACCCCAUAAACACCCAGCAGCCUCGCUAAAGCUGAAGGGAAGAGUCACCACAGAAAUGCUCUGCAAUUGAGAAGGAAUUUUCCCAGUGUGAGCUUGGCCCUGUUGCACAGCUGCGUUUCUCUCCUGCACAAGAUGUACAACAAAACAGGAACGUGUGUGUUUGUUUAUGGAAGCUUCCUGAGGGCUGAAUCAGAGCCAAGCGCAAGCGUCAGCUUCUCCGGAUACACAAGCUGCUAAGUUCAUCUCCUUCUCUCCUGGUGGGAGAGGCACAUCACCGGCCAGCCCCAGCAGGCUGCAUCACUUGUGGACCACUGAAUCACUCGUGGUCCCUAGCUAACUCCCAGCUGAUGAGUGUUUUCCUCCUGGGUUUUAUGCUUCUAAUUCUCCAGUGUGGCCAGGAGGAAAGGUAAGCCUAAUAGUCCUAAAGAAUGAGUUAUUUGAUAGUAGCACUAUUUAUGUUUCUGAAUCCUCAUUCUUUUUUAAAUAAGACAAAUGGUUCCCAAAAGUAGCAAGAUUCCCUCUUUUCCUUAAGUAAACAGCAUUUUAGCAUUUCAAGCUUUCAGGAGAUGUGACAGGUCCUUGUAGUACGUGUUUGUUAACAAAUGCACAGAGAAAGCUUCAGUGCAACUCGAACCUCGCAGAGGCAGUUUUGAUGACAACAAGCCUGCAGGAAGGGCAUUUUUCUCAUGUAACCUCCUCCUUCCCAUAGGAGCUGAAUAGGUCUCUUAAAUCGUACAGAUGCACAGGUACAAUGGAGAAGAAAGAUUUUGUCCUCCCUUUGCCAUUCCGGAGUAAUGUAUGUUUUGUAUCAGUGAACAAAUUCCCAGUCAGAUUUUCAGACGAUAGAAGAUGUUCACCCCAUUGACUUCAGUGGGGUGCUGCCAGGAGCUGAGAUCAUCAGAUUGUGCUGGUAUUUGUGACUUUUUUUUUCACACGUUUUGUCAAUGAGAAUUCUGCUAUAAGUCAAAAUUAGGCCUUGUGGCCUUGUGUUUUCACAACAUGAACUGUUAUGUAUCCCCUUCUGGUGAAUCUGGUGAAGGGCAGCAAGUGUCAGCACGGCAAUAAGGAGAAAUGUUUUGUUGAGGUCUCAUGGGUAAAUUAUCUAUUCAAAUUAAAAGUGAAAACCUGAUACUGAGAGUAUUGAGUCACCAUCAAUGGUUUAGAUCUAGGAAUAAAAUCCAGUGUUCCUUCCCAGGUAUUUUUCAAUAUAUGCAAAUAUUAAAUGACUAUGUCAAGUGGUGCUUAAUAAAU